AGUGAACGCUGGCGGCAGGCCUAACACAUGCAAGUCGAACGGCAGCACAAGAGAGCUUGCUCUCUGGGUGGCGAGUGGCGGACGGGUGAGGAAUGCAUCGGAAUCUGCCCAUUUGUGGGGGAUAACCUCGGGAAACCGGGACUAAUACCGCAUACGACCUACGGGUGAAAGCAGGGGAUCUUCGGACCUUGCGCAGAUGGAUGAGCCGAUGCCGGAUUAGCUAGUUGGAGGGGUAAAGGCCCACCAAGGCGACGAUCCGUAGCUGGUCUGAGAGGAUGAUCAGCCACACUGGAACUGAGACACGGCCCAGACUCCUACGGGAGGCAGCAGUGGGGAAUAUUGGAAAAUGGGCGCAAGCCUGAUCCAGCCAUGCCGCGUGUGUGAAGAAGGCCUUCGGGUUGUAAAGCACUUUUGUUGGGAAAGAAAAGCAGCCGGUUAAUACCCGGUUGUCAUGACGGUACCCAAAGAAUAAGCACCGGCUAACUUCGUG
rnacentral:rRNA from 1 species